AUGGAGGUGAUGACUAUUUCCCCAGAUGAUCGAAGCUGAUUAUACUGAGCGCAUUAUUUAUCUCUUUCGAGAGAUCAAGCCAAUUUGUCUGAUCCAU